rnacentral:sRNA from 1 species
CUAUGGACCAAGAGCAAGAACGUCCAUGUCUGGGGAAGGACAAAAGAAGGUGUCUGCUCAGCAGAGAGGCUAUCACAUUCCCUCUGCCUUUUUGUUCAUUUAGGAACCUCAGAAGUUUUGGUUGAUUUUGGGGUUGGAGGGUGAAUAUUAACUUUUUCUAUUAAUGCCUAUUAUUCAUUUCUAAAAACACUCUCAAAGACAAGCUGAAGAAUAUUUUUUCAUCUAUGUCUAUAUCCAUUAGCUCCAUAAAAUCAUCUAGUAAAAAUAGCUUUCAGAAGUUCUAAGUUCUUUCACCAAUAAGAAUCAUCAAUUACUCUACACAUAAAGAAACCAAAUCAAGUCUUCUAUGGUCCUAAGAGUAGCUGGCAGAGCCAAGAAGCAGCAGCUACCUACACACAUUACCUGGUCAUGUAACAUAGAGUUCAUCUGCAUCAGUAAAAGCGACACUACUGAAAAUCUGGCGAUUUUCAUCUGGAGCUGACAACAUGCCGAAUGGAGCUCUACUCUCAUCUGUACUACUUAUCAUAUUGUUGUUUUAACUCUCUAAAACAAAAAAUAAGAGAUGAAAUUGUGUGGACAACCACAGUAAAGGGGCUCAACUCAUGAUGUUUAAUAAUGUUAGCAUUUUGUGUCUAGAUACGGGAUGUUUCCUCAGCAGGGCUAUCCCCUUGAUGGUCAGUGAAAUAAGCUUCCCACUUCAUUAUUUAAACAGUGGAAAGAUCCUUCUAGUACACCAUCCAGUCCAAGUUUUACCAUUCCUUUCAUGAGCACAUUGGAAAAAGCGGGAGUCAGAAAUGGGAAAAGUCCAGCCUAGAAUCCUGGGAUCCAUUUGCUGUCUAGAUGGCCCUUUCGAACAUUGGCCUUCUGAUCUUCCCACAGGAUGAUGGUGGAACUCAAUGUAUUCAGUUUCUGGUGAGUGUCAGCACAGAGACUCUGAGUCUAAAACCAAUAUGCAUGAUCACAAGCUGCCCACAGCCCUCCUUACCUGAAUUGAUAGAUUUAUUCCUCUAGAAGGUGUUAUCCCAUAAUAUUCCAUAAUAUCCAUCGCAUUUUACCUAUACUGUCUUGUAAACAUGGGUCAGGAGCUUAAUUCUGUAACGGACAGCCCUUUCUCUUUUCCCUUCCACUUUACACAGUUCUUUUUAUCAGUUCAUGCCUUUUAUCAGACCACUUGGCAAGCUGAACUAGUCACAAAAAGUGUCUGUCACCUGCAGAGAGUGGUGCUUUCCUUUUCCCCCAAAACCAAAGCUCUAAUUUAAAUGGCAGACUCAACUAUUUCUAGUCCCUCUGCUGAUCUCUGUAAGAUAGAGCCUACUGCCUUGAUUUGCGUGGUUAAUGGCCCCAAGGAGCUGCGGGGUCUAAAGGCAUCUCUAGCCCAAGCCACUUUUGUUUCUGUUUCUGAAGACGCUGUUCCCUCUUAGGGAACAACCAGGUCAUCCAGUGACACUUUUGGAAGGUAAAGUAAAAGAGAAGCUGUAAGGAAGUCCCAAUAGGGAUGAGCCCCUAAAGGUAACUGUGCAAAAUGCAUUGGAGGAAAACCUGGAACCAACUGAAAGAGCGGCUCGUGCCUAUCUCUAGGGAGUUUCUAUCAACAGGCAACUGCUGCAAACUGAUUCUUGGGGCUUCCAUAGUUGCCCUGGCUCCUGAGCCCUAAGAUACCCAGAAGAGGACAUGGCAGGCCACUUGUGCUGGGAGAAGGCCCAUUCUUGCAAAGCUGUGGGACAGCUCAUUCUCUGAAGCUCUCCUGUUCUCUGUGCUCACCAGGUAUAUAUUUGUCUAAGCCACUGUGGUUGUUUGGAAGGGAAUAAAUCCCCUUGGCUCAUAUUUGAAUGUUUGUUCCUUAAUUGGUAGAACUGUUAG